rnacentral:misc_RNA from 1 species
CGCGUUCGCGUCCGCCCGCGCAGCGAGGCCUCGACAAGAGCAAGGUACUGUCACACGCACGCAUGAUCAAAAUUGCACUCCUCUCUCGCCUGCGCUGUUCUUUCUUCGGCGUGCCCCUUCUCCAGCUUUCCAUCCACCAAUCAGCGGGACCGACGCACGCGCACACGCACACGCAUAAAAGGACGCACCUAUAGAAAGGUAAACGGCGAGGCGCUGCCGCCGUUCGGCUCUGCUCUUUUUUGUUCGUUCCUUUCCAACAGUUUCGCUGCCUCGUGUGUGUGUGUGGGGGGGGGCGUGGCGUACUACUUCGCUGCUGCCAUAGAAGGACAGGAAGGGCACUUGAAAACGCCGACGCUGGGCGGCAUCCGUCCCAUCAUCACAGGCAUAUACACUCACACACGCACAUCGCAUAUUUGCAUACACCCAGCUCCGUGCGCACGUGCGCUGUCGCUUCCCACCUCACGAGAGGCACGGCAGUAAACACAGGAGAGAGACCGCGCGGUCUUAAGCGUGGGCGUUGCCGGGUAGCCAUCCUUUUUUUCGGCUUGCCACUUUACUCAGCCUGGGGUUCAGAGGGGGCCUUCCUCACCUCUACAAUUACCGUGAGCUGGUCUCUCACGUUGUCACGUUGUCACAUAGCCGCGCGCCGUGUUUUCCUUCAGCAGACGGUGGUGUUGCUCUGGUGUCGGUCAUACGCACUAGAUGGGCGACGAGCAGAUCACGGAGAAGCAAGGGCGCUCCAGCGUAAUAGAUGGCGCUGCAGGGCCGCCGCCAUCUCCACCACAACGGCAAGCGACAGGGCGGGAAACGGGUAACCACAUUGCACAUGUUUUUCGUGCUCUCCAGCAGCUGCAACCGCUCGGGUCGGGGCUAUCGGCAUCCUCUUCACAGCCCACCAACUCUUCAGCGUUCGAGAAUGGCGCCGCUGCGUGGAUGUGCAGUCACCUGGACCUUCUUUGGGAGUCGAUUGCGUCAUCGGCUACGGAAACGCCAUCAGCACACGUCAACGCUGCUGCUGCUUCCAUGGCCACGCACCCACGCACGCGGCUUGUUCUUCAGCUUCUCGCCUUGGAAGCUCUUCGGCGAGAGCAGCGGCGAGGCGUUUUUCCGCUGAGUUCUCCGCCGCGCUCCUCUGUGUCGACCACCGCAUCCCUUCUGGAAGCGACUAGCGGGGCGGCGACCUCCGCUGCUGCUGUUGCUGCGCCGGCUGCUUGCCGCUCUCUAUGCAGUGGGCCCUCUUGCCACCGUGACACCCACUUUGAGGUGGGCGGUUUGCCUGUUGUGUAUCACUGGCUAUGGCAGCGUGCUGCGGCGCUUCCGUCCGGGCUGGCCGUGGCCGAAUCUCCAUAUGGCGAUCUCAGUGCUCUCAUGAUGGAGUGGGCGGCGCUGGCGCUGCCGGCGUGGCUGGAGAGCUCAGAAGAAGUGCGAUGGCGAUACGAGCGUGAUGAGGUGCUGCGCCUUGUGCAUGAGAGCACCACCGCAGCGGCAGCGUGUGGUUUUGCCAACGCGGAAAAGGGAGCACGAGAAGCGGAAGAAACGGCUGCGACAGUGCCGGGUCUGGUGCAGCAAUCAGACGCUAGUGCAGCUGACACUGUCGCCGCGAACAGUGUUCGCAGCCUCAUCCGCAACCAAGCCGUAUUCAUGCCGCGGGUGAAGGACGUCAACGAUGAAGGUGUGUCGGAGCCAUCAUUGGCUGCCGUACCCAGACCGCUAUCGACGUCCGCUGCGCAUGGUGCAGCUUCUUCCCCACCUCGACGAGUGCUGCAGCUCGUUGUUGCGGCGGCAGCGAACCUCGCUACCGCGCAGCAGGCCGAUCUCACCAUCGCCAAAACCACUGCUGUCGUCCCGUUGCCCAGCCCAGCCGCGGAGAGCGAAGAGGCGCUGGCGAAGAAAACUGGAAGGGAGCCGACGACUGUAUCGGGCACCGUCGCAGCCUUUCGGAUGACACCACCGCUGCAGUCCCAGGCUGGUGACACGCCGGCGAUGAGCUUAGCAAACGCCGCUGGUAGUGGCGAUGGCGACGUGGUACUCAAGAAGAGACUGGCUAUACAACUGCCCCGCACCACCGGCGGCAUAGCUGUCCCUCGAGAGGCAGCUACGGCUGCCACAACCAUCGCCGCGGAGCCUUCAUGUAACACUGCCGUCGACGACGUGGUGGCGAGAGUAGCUACGAGGCCGCUAAUGCUACUCAGCGACGAGGGCUUCACGGAUGACGAUGGCGAAGCGCGAGGGUCGAUGGCCGAGGCGAACGACAGCGCUCAGGAUGGCAGUGCACUUGCUUCACCAGCCCCAGAGGCAACGGAGAACACCGCCGCGUGCAUGAGGUCGCGCCUGCGUCGCUGGCGACGUAUCGCUCCUGUUGUUUUGGAUGCCCCUCCAGGCAGUGAGGCAGCCCAGGACGUGUGCACUGUGCUGGAGGCGCUGGGCUUUGCGGCGGCUGGCGAGGAUGACUGUGCCGACAAGACUCUUACGGAGCUGGCACCGUCUUGUUGCUCAGCGCAGGCGCCUGGGGAGCUGCUGAAGGGGCCGAAGGCGCCCACCUCACGCCGUUUCAGCGAGGGUGCAGCACGUGCACGGAUGCCUCUGUGUCCUCUCGGGCGUCUACCUCCUCUCCUCGCGGCGCAUGCGUGGCUGUCGAACCCAUCGCUUCGAUCAUCAUGGCUCGCCCACAUUAUUGCAGUUCCGUCUCCAGAAUGCUCGCUCACUGCCGUCGUCGCCGGCAGCGAAGCGUGCCUCAAGGACGGAGGGACGGCACUGGUGUCUUCGAGAGACGCUCAGGCCACUCCGCUGCCCGUGCCCGCGUCGUCGCCUUCAUCCUCGGCGCACUGCAGCGGCGACGCGCCUCCUCGCCCGCAGCUGCACGCAGCAUCUCCUGCGCUGUCCUGCAUCGCGUUGGCGGACCAUCGCGUGUUUGCGAUGCUCGAUGAGCUGCUGUGGUGCGCGCAUCCAUCUGCAAGCGCUUUUCUGCUUAGUUUCGAGGAGAACUUGCACAGGUACUUGUGCUAUCCGUUGGCUGGGGUGUGCGCAGCGGCACCUGCAGCAGCGACGGCGACGAAGUCGGGGUUCUGCAAGUCGCUUUCUCACCCUGAACAAGGGGCGCGUAUUGCUGGCAGUCAUGGCACCUCUGCUCCUCGCCCUCUCGCAGUGUCCGCCUGGAAGGCAUACCUGGAGCUACGGUAUGGAAAGGCACACCUGCGGCAGCCGAAACACCUGCAUCCUCCUCCGUUGAGGACGGUGACUUCCACUAAGGCAGCGAUUUCGAAGAGUGACACCCGUCAGAACGCCGAGCCCAGCGCUACUGCCGCUGCUGCUGCCGCCCCUUUAACAGCAGGCGGUCCGCACUGCACCAAAAAGCGGGAGGCAGGGGGGCGCACUGCAGAGGAUGAGGCGGCCACACGACCCGCGAUGUCGUCCGUCGCUGCGUCUGCUGCUGUGGCGGCGCGCACACCACUCCUGCCGUUCGUUGCAGCAGCCUUUGCCGCGUCGUCCUCAGCGACGGCGAGUACCGCCACCUACGCCGCAGUCAUGGACGUGGCGGCGAUGGUGUUCCUGGCGGAGCUGCGCCGUGUUGGUGCCAUCGCCAUGACGGAGAAGGCAAGGGGCGCCGUGCAGGUCCUACAGGCGUGCCACGCGGGUCGCGGUGCGGGGCCGCUGCGGCAAUCGACACAGCAACGCGGUGGAGAAAGCGGUGGCAGUGCGGAAUCAGGCGUGUGCGUGGAAUCGACCGCCGACGCAGAGGGCGUGCGGCAGUUUUCUUCUGACGCUGUCGACGCUUAUUGUUUCAAGGCCGUGCAAGGCGGGGGUGGCAUAUCGGUCUCCUCGCUGCAGGCCCUCUUGGAGGGCACCGUUGAGCGUGACACAUCACUGUGCAGGUAUGUUUGCAGGUGGUUUGCGCCGCUGUCACCGCUGCCUGUCGCCACCAUGGCGAGCCACGUGCAAGAAUCGAAGAGGGAUGCACGGGACGAAAAGCGCUCGCUGGUGACGUUGGCUGCGCACCUGUGGUUGGCGCUCGUGACGGUGCUCAGUCUUGGUGAGAGUGCAACGGCCCAGUACGUACGCGGCGUCCUGAUGCCGCCAGCUAGUUUGCCAGUUACGCCUUGCUCUCCUUCUCUCACAUCGGUCGCAGCUGUAGGGGCAGCGGCAGAGACAGAGGCGGUCGGCGUGCCCUCGUGGAUGGCGAGGACGUCGCUGGCGCCGUUCACGAUGCCAACACUGUUUCGAAGCACGCUGGAGGAUCUAUAUCAGGAGGAGAGCGCAGCAACCGCCGCUGCUGUGGCCGUGGCCGGCAAAAACCACAACCCGCCAUGCCGACCGUCUUCACUGCCGCUGUGCGCGCCGGGCUUUCUGCGAGAUGAAGAGGACCCGGCGAGUAGGGCGACAACCAGCUGCCGAGCGGCGCCCGCUUCUGUGGCAACAGCGACGCUAAAAGGGUGUGCGCCCGUGACCCUAGCGACCCAGGACACACUUGUGCUGAGCGCGGCAGUGGCGCUGCGGCACCCUCGCGUGAUACUCCGGCAACUUCACUUUCUGUGGCAGCUGAGCGACUGCGAGAACCGAGACGGGCAUGCGACUAAGGCCGACGACGGCUCGCACCACUCAGCGACGCUCGGCUCCCCGUCACCUGCCUUGCUCGAUACCGGAAGGACAGCAGCAAGCACCAGGAGAGCCGCCGGGGCAGCGGACCCCCGCGCUACUGCGAAGGGCACCAGCGACCCUACAGCGUUCUCUUUCAAGCAGGAGUUCGCCACUCGAGUUGCCAGUCUCGUGGAGUGCGUGCAGAUGGCCUCUCUGGCUGGGCUGCCGCCACCACUCGCCGCAUCACUGAUGCCGUCCAGACCAUCGUCUAGCGCAGUGCCGGCGGAGGCUUCCGGUGGUGCGCUGAGCGGAGGUGCGUCUGCCUCUUCGAUGCGGCAAUGGUCGACAGGGCCAAGCACUUCGGCAGUACAUGUGUCGGCUGCCGUCGCAUCGUCACAGCAGCAGUGCGGCGCAGCAGCUCUGCCACCUCCUGUGCCUCCCCCAAACGCCGACUCCGCCAGAGCGGUCACCGCUCAUGCGACAUCGAUUCGCCUGCGCCUGCAACUCUCGUCCAAGACGUCGCCCUCCAGCGCCGUCACAGCUGGCGUAGGCGCAUUCAAGGCUCCAACCACCGACGGUGUGAAGCGGUCGCGCGAGAUGGACGAGGUGGAUGUGGGCUGCACGGAGCCUGCUGUGCUGUCGAACUCGGAAAACGUUGCGACGAGGAGCUCGCGGCCGGCAAAGCUGCAUCGAAUGGACGGCGUCGCGACGCACGCUCUGCAACUCAAAUCGGAUAGCUGGGCACGAGCACCGCCGCCGCCGCCGCCGCCGCCACUGGAGGGCCUGGCGGAGUUGCACGUUCGCUGGGCAGACGAGGUAUACGAAAAGGGCGGUUCCGUGAGGCUUUCGCUCACACCUUUGGCAGCCACUUCUUCGGGGGCGGCGAGCGACGCUGAGGCCGCGACGUCGAGGUCAGCGCUUCUCCUCACUAUGGUGGCUGACACCCUCUGGGAUGUACUCCAGCACAUACACGCACAGGCACUGGGAGUAGCCGUAGGCAGCGCUCAUGUGCCUCGCGGCGAUGACCCGAUUCCAAACGAUCCUUCAGCUGCGACAUCUGCUUCGCCCUCAUUCCUCCUCAGGGAUGCCGAGGCGACGCCAGGAGGUGUACCUGUGCGUCGUACGCUGCUGCGGCUGCGGGUGAGCCCCGCCUACCGCGCCCUGCAGCGCCUGUGGCAGGCCAUCAACCCCCCAACCGUCUCCGAGCGUAGCGUGGCUGUCUCCUCGGAAGCUGGUACCCUCCCCCCUACUGGUGGCGCCGCAGCGGGCCACCCACGGCUGGACGUGGUUCUCCCCGCCACUGCUUCUCAGCUGGCAACAGCGGUCGACCUGCGCGUCUACACUUCUCUGACAGCGUCGCUGCGUGGCGUUGUGUGCAUUGUGCUCGGAUACGCGGUGCAUGGGUGCUUGCAGGCCGUCUGGCGCAACUGGUGUGCGCUGUGCAAAAUGCACGAAGACUCCGCGACGACAGCGGGCUGCGCUACGGCGCCAUCUGGUUCAGCGCAACAGCCGUCGCGCACGCCUUUUCCACCUUCUCAUGGGUCGUACGCGUGGCUCACGGGGCAGCUCCACGCACUUCUAGAUGAGGUCCUUCAACCUCUUAAUCGUAUUCUAAAGGUGUCUCUGUCGGAAGUGGACGACAUCGAGCCUGUCGGCGACCGAGGCGCGCCCGACGUCGUGAGGUGCGACGGACACGUUCUGGCAGAACCACUUUCCUCAUUGCUCAGACAGCCUGGCGCUACGCACGUGGAGGCACUCGCGACGGCAGCUUGGCUGACCUACAAGCCCCUUGGGCUCGUGCUUCUGCCGGGUCACAUCCGCCGGCUUGACGCCGCCAUGCCUCGCUGCCUGCGCGGCGACUGCGCAGCGAUGAGUGGGGGCCUUCACCGCCUAGAUGCGUAUGAGGCGUGGGCGCAAGUGAAAGCGGCGCUUCAGCAAGCCGGCGUGCAGGCGUGAGCUGCGCACCCUCCACCCCCAGUGCCAACGUUGUUUCUCCUGCUUUCGUUGGAUACUCCUGCGGCGUUGAAGACGCAUGCAGGCGGCAACAAGACGAAGAGAAAAGGUGAGCUGCUGCGGAGGAGACGCAGACAGACAGAGAUGCACACGCCCCAGUGCCCCGAAUAGCGGCGGAUGUAGCCGCGCACGUGACACGGACCUGUGGAGGAGUCGCGGAAAAGAAGUGUGGGGAUGCAGCAGACGCGUAAGGAAAGGGGCCAUGCCGUGAAUGCUUUUUUUUUCGUUCCUUUGCCUUGGUUCAAAGCAGAAUGAACGCGGUGUGUCUGUGUGUGUGCGCCCUCCUCCCCGGCACUCCCCCCUUCCCUGUCCUUUCUCCUUGACCCCGUGCCACUGAGCUCAUGCACGGCCACUGGAAUAGCAGCAGUUCCCACCAACAAGUGGGAGAGAAGGAAAACCAAAACGAAAAGCACCCACAACUCUAGCUGCCUCCUCGCAGUGUGUGUGUGUGUGUGUGUGCAACAGAUGCUCUUGCCUGGUGCCGACACCGCUGACUUGUUUGCUCGGCGUUUUUCUUUUUGUGCUUUGCAACGAUGCUUGCCGUCGCGGGUCUCGGUGCCGCUGGACAAGGUCCGCGCGUGCUGGUGUGGGAGGGUGAAGCCGCCAACGAAGAUGGCUCUCUUGCCGAUGUCUCGCCCUCUGUGCCCUGCCAUCCUUCUCUCGCUUUCUCUCUUUUCCUUUGUUUUGCGCUUCCCGAUUGUUCGUUACCCCUGCACCACAACGUCCACAUCGGUAUAUAUAUAUAUAUAUAUGUUUGCACAG